UGUCAUUUCCACCCACCUCUUUCCAAAGAACAGAACACAAUCACUUCCCGGCCCGUUCCUGCCGCUGCGCCCCGACCCCGGUCCGUCCCCGGCCGCGCGCGGACGCCAGGGGCCCCUCUGAGGUCUUUCCCGCCCCGCACGCUCGCAUCCUUGCAGCCUGUUUUCGGAUCUGUAUCAUGCCGGGUGUUUUGGGGGUGGGGGAGGGGGCUCGAGGCGAUCUACAGGAGGAGACAGGGCCGUGGAAAACUGCUAAGGAGCCGGGGACGUAAAGGAGAACGCAGAGCUGCCUGCAGUCCCUCGGCCGCGUGGCCCGUGCUCCAGGGGAAAGACGGAACCAGCGCCCCGCGCGGAGGGGCUGCGCGCGGAGGGGUCGCUGCGGUUGGGCCCCGGGGGGAGGCAGGGGUGUGCAGCGCGCAGGAAACCGGCCCUGCGGCGGGGUCUUGGCAUCAGGUUGCAGGGCUUAAAGGCUUUCUGUUCUUGGCUUCCCAGCUGCUGCGGUGUCCAAGUCCCCCUGCACCCGGUCAAGGGUAGGUGGGGGGCUGGUCCUGAACGACCCUCGCCUCCACCCCUUGGUGUUGGCCUCUGGUUCCCAGUUCCUGCUGCUACUCCCUCUUCCUGGGAGAAGGGAGAGGGGGGCAGACGAGACAGCGCAGCCAUCCCCGCCUUGCACCCCCGCCUUAGGUCCCCCCGGGCUGUCCACCGGAAGGAGACCUGGGAAGGAAUUUGCUGUGAGAAAAGCGGGAAACACUGUCUCCACUAGUAUUCGCGGCGUGCGCUGCCCUCUUGCCAGAGCUGUUUGAAGGCUGUUUCCACGGGCAAAUGCACAUGGGACCCGGUUCCCAAACUCUGAGAGGCCAGCGCCCACAGGCUGCAGAGGUGUGCCCGCCACACCCCUCCGGCUGGCCGACCCUGACCUUGAGGGUGGCCCCGGGCCAGCUCGCCCAGCCCGCCCGCAGGUGGACGGUCACGCUCUGCUGACUCAGGCCCCAACGGGGCAGGUGCCUGCCUUCAACCCCAUGAGUAAUACCCAGCUUUUCAUCUUCAAAGGGCCUUCCUGGGAUUAACCAAUUAGUCACCCCCAGGAAAGCUAGGGAGCAGGUUAUUACUGGGCCCAUUAAGGCCGUGGUGGGGGAGGGAAGUGGUGCAGGCGCGGCCCCAGUCCAGGGAGAGCCCGGAUUUGGGUUCAGGAUAUCCCAGGACCAUGUCCUUCCGCGGUCCAGUGGAGUCCGGAGCUUGUCGGGUAGCAGUGGUGAGACCACUGAGGGGCUUGGAGAGCCUCAGGCCAGUGCAAAGGGCCGCCUUGCUGACCCACAGCUGGGAGAGGCAGGCGGUCUGACACAGGCUUACCCACAGCGGCUGCACCAUCUGCUCCAAGCAAUUCAGAAACUGAUACUGGCUUGCCUCCCGUCUCUCUGGCCCCCCUGAGCCAUCCCGAUAUUUGCGAAAUGCACUUUGGAACCCUUUCCUUUUCGUGUCUGCAGGCGCAUUUCGAAUGACUAAAAAUGAUAACGCACAUGCUACAAAUCACCUUGCAAAUCAAAAGUGUGACGUGAGGGCUUAGCACAGCCAGGGCCGCGGGUCCCUCCGGGUAACGCUGCGCCCCUGUGCUUGUCCUCCUUCAGGGGCACGACGCAGAAGGCUGGAGAGUUUUAGGAGGUAAGUCUGUGUCCUGGUGACAGAGUGAGGACUGAGACACCUUCUGGAAGCCAGACAGCAGAGCGAUCCUUUCAGUCAACCCUGUCUGCAGCUGCUUUUUAUAAACUUGGCAUAAAUAUGGGCUUGGGAACGCCAGGGCAGCGUAUCUGGAAAAUAUUUUCUACCAUUCGAAAACACACACACACACACACACACACACACACACACACACACACACACACACACACACAGGCUUGGAAAGGAAAAAAAAAAAAACACCACGCAACAGAAAUUGUGCAUUGUACAGAGUGGCUUCACAUGUAGUUUUUUUCCAUUACUUCCUCAGUUCAUUUUUCUGCUGCCAAUUUUAGAAGGCCGUAAGUCAUAGUUGUUGUUAAACUUUGUCAGUUAAAAUGUAACUCUAAGAACAAGUCAUAUGAUACGCUGGAGCCAAAUGGCCUCUGGGAGAGCUGAUGGUGGGAGGAAGACCUUGUCAGCCCAUCCCCGAGUCUCAGGUCUUCUCUGCAGUGUUACACAUCGUGCCCACGAGGCGGUCCUGGCUCUUGGCUCCUAGUUUUCACGUCCACCCCGGCUCCAAAGGGCCACCUAGGAGAGGGAAGGAGACUUUUCCACAUUCACUUUGUGUGACCCGGGAGUCGAGUGUGGUCUCAUUAGGGCUGAUUCAUUACGAGUUCUCCACUUUUCUUUCUCUUAGAAAAUGGCUGGAUUCACUGUCUCCUAAAUGUCAACCCAGCAGAAUCAGAAAUUAAGAGGUGAAGGGGAGGAAUUGGUGGUUUGAGGCUGGGACUGUCCAGGGUGCUCACAUCUCCCUGGAGGAGCUGCAGGCCCAGGGGCACAGACCCAGGCUGGUCUCUGUGCGCACCGAGGUGGGCUGCACUGGGGUUUGCCUGCCGGGCAUCACCGCUGGGCUGGGAGCCUUUGAGGGCAGGGCGUGUGUUUCCCUGCAGGGCUGGUGUCCAAGGUAAGGCCAGGGACCCAGUCAGCACUCACAGGUGCCUGUGCAGAAAACCGGGAUAAAAGACAAGACACCAAACCAGCCAUCAGGGAGGCACGGUGGAGGGGAGGGCCUCUCCCUCGUGCAGUCACCGUCUUCUGCGUGCCCUUCUGUCCUUUCUUCUUCUCUUCAGUCUGACUGUCCCUGAAGCCACCUUGGGGUCCUGGAAGAGAGGGUGGGGGACGUGAGGUGUGGCAAGGGGAGGCUUUCUCAGGGGCCGCGUCCCUGCACUUGGAGCCUGGGUGUAAUCUUGGUGUAAACGGGAACCGGGACCAUUGCUCUGAAAACUAGAUCACUGCUUCAAUCCCGGAGCCCCUCAGGGACUUUCUGGUGGGACUGACGGGUCUGAUUCCAUUGUCAUGAUAAAGUACAGCUCUCCCAGGUCCAGAAUGUCCAUCUGCCACCAGGGUGCCAGCACCCAUCUGCUGCCCAGAAGCUUGAGAGGAAGGGCAGAGCUGCCCCAGGCCCUCCCGGCCACGGGCCUCAGCGCUGCUGCGGGUGAUGCUCUUGCUGCUGGUUCCAAAAUGAACCAGCUGGUCACGGGCGCAUGCUCAGUGUUGCCAUGCGUCUCUCUGGGGCCUUCUUCCCUCCUUUCGGAUAGGAGGUUUUUGUUCAUUCGUUCAUUCCUUCACUCCUCCACCAAAUACGCACGGCAGAGCGCCUGGGCUCACUUCACGGCUCCGUGCUGGCCCCGCGGAUCCCCGGCGAGGAGGCCAGCCCCGGGCCUUGUGGAGUUUCCAUCCUAGGGGGGCUGACGGACAGAUGGACAGGGGCCCCUUCCCCUCACAGUGCCUUUUGCACAUGAUGCCACCUACGGCACUGAAGGAGAGCGGAUGGGGGCUAGGAGAGCCACUCAGGAAAGAGGGCUUAGUCUUAGGGAGAGAGUGGGGGCCCUCGGAUUUGCCACGUAACUUCCAGAGCCUUCCCUGUGGAAUGGGCACGGCGUCGCUGCUCCGUGGGUUUGCCCGGAGGGGCAGGGAAGAUGGCACCUGUGACAGCCCCCCGACGAGUGUUGGCGGCUCCCAGGACUCCCAGUGCUGCUUUCCUGGAAGAAAGUAAACAAAACAAGUGUGACUAUUUAAAACAAUUAUUGGAAAACCGGCUCUGAACACCGUGGCUUUGAACGGCUCUCCUGGGCGGAUGUGUCGCUGGGUCCCUGUGGCGCCUCACCCCAUGGUGUGUACGUGGGGAGGGGCCAGGGCCAGCCAGAGCCUUGGGCGAGGAGGAUGUGACGGGCCCAUGAAUGGCCCCCUGAACACACGCGGACGCGGAGGGAGAGGACCGUCCUCUCCAGUGACGGCUCUGUCUGGGAGGGAGAAGGCCUUCCAGCAGCUCUGGUGCCAGCUUGCAAGGAUGUGGGGCCAGCAGAGCCCCUCGAGGUGUUCACCGGUGUGGCUGGCCCGGCUCAGGUUUUCCACUGACAGCCACAUGUUACAGACACCCUUGGGAGACGUUCCACUGCUUUCAUAAUGCAGAAGGGUUUUUUUUUCUGACUCAUCUUCAGAAGAUCCCCCCCCCCCGCCGCCGCCCCAAUCCCCCAUCGUUUGAAAAUAAAUAUAAUUAGUAACAGGCAGACAUACUGUA